CGUACUGCUCGUAGCCUGAGCAGCCUGCCGCGUGUGUGAUGAAGGCCUUCGGGUUGUAAAGCACUUUUGUUUUGGACGAAAAAUCUCCUUCUAAUACCGGGUGCCCCUGACGGUACCGUAAGAAUAAGCACCGGCUAACUACGUGCCAGCAGCCGCGGUAAUA
rnacentral:rRNA from 1 species